UAGUCCACGCCGUAAACGAUGAUCACUAGAUGUUGGUUUGGCCUAGCUGAAUCAGUAUCGUAGCUAACGCGUUAAGUGAUCCGCCUGGGGAUUACGGUCGCAAGACUAAAACUCAAAGGAAUUGACGGGGGUUCGCACAAGCGGUGGAACAUGUGGUUUAAUUCGACGCUACGCGAGGAACCUUACCUGGAUUUGACAUGCUUCUGAUCGCCAUAGAGAUAUGGUUUUCCAAGCUUUUGUUUGGACAGUUGCACAGGUGCUGCAUGGCUGUCGUCAGCUCGUGUCGUGAGAUGUUAGGUUAAGUCCUCUAACGAGCGCAACCCUUGCUACCAGUUGCUAUUUGUCUUCGGACAAAGCACUCUGGUGGGACUGCCUGGGAACCAGGACGGAAGGUGGGGACGACGUCAAGUCAUCAUGGUCCUUAUGUCCAGGGGCUACACACGUGUUACCAAUGGCCGAUACAAAGGGUUGCGAUCUCGCAAGGGUGAGCUAAUCCCA
rnacentral:rRNA from 1 species